rnacentral:misc_RNA from 1 species
GUAGGUGAACCUGCGGAAGGAUCAUUAACACGUGAUACUUCACGUAUUAACCAAACACGCGAACUGUUAACCUAUUCCUACUGUCAAUCGUCUGGGAGCUCAGCAUUUGAGGGACUGGUGUGUCGCGUUACGCGCGACUGCCUUGGGUGCUGUCACUGCCCUUGUGUCUGCUUCAUUGCGGAUGUGAGGUGUCGGAGACCCGGGUUGGCUUUAGAUGACGAAUUUAGAUUGUGGCUGCUUGCGCCAAGGC